UAUAAUAUCCGCUUGCCGAAGACAGCAGGUGCAGAAUUGCGUAAAGAAGAUUAUUUCUGCCUGCCGAGGAAAGGAACUUAUUUAAAGUUUACAGACCUUUUCUGUCUUCGCAGAAGAGGUCUUUUUAUCU
rnacentral:sRNA from 1 species